AUACGGAGGAUCCGAGCGUUAUCCGGAUUUAUUGGGUUUAAAGGGUGCGUAGGCGGUUUGCUAAGCGGGAGGUGAAAUGCCGGCGCUCAACGUCGGAAGUGCCUCCCGAACUGGUGGACUGGAAUGACUCUGCCGUGGGAGGAAUGUGUAGUGUAGCGGUGAAAUGCUUAGAGAUUACACAGAACACCGAUUGCGAAGGCAUCUCACGAAGGGUUGAUUGACGCUGAGGCACGAAAGCGUGGGGAUCAAACAGGAUUAGAUACCCUGGUAGUCCACGCAGUAAACGAUGAUGGCUAACCGCUGGGCUUAUCAGUUCAGUGGCCAAGCGAAAGCGAUAAGCCAUCCACCUGGGGAGUACGACCGCAAGGUUGAAACUUAAAGGAAUUGACGGGG
rnacentral:rRNA from 1 species